rnacentral:rRNA from 1 species
GACGUAGGGCGCGAGCGUUGUCCGGAUUUAUUGGGCGUAAAGAGCUCGUAGGCGGUCUGUCGCGUCUGCUGUGAAAACUCAGGGCUUAACCCUGAGCUUGCAGUGGGUACGGGCAGACUAGAGUGCGGUAGGGGAGACUGGAAUUCCUGGUGUAGCGGUGAAAUGCGCAGAUAUCAGGAGGAACACCGGUGGCGAAGGCGACUUACUGGACACAUAUUGACGCUGAGGUGCGAAAGCGUGGGGAGCAAACAGG